CAGCAGCCACGGUAAUACGUAGGGCGCAAGCGUUGUCCGGAAUUAUUGGGCGUAAAGAGCUCGUAGGCGGUCUGUCGCGUCUGGUGUGAAAUCCCGAGGCUCAACCUCGGGCUUGCAUCGGGUACGGGCAGACUAGAGUGCGGUAGGGGAGACUGGAAUUCCUGGUGUAGCGGUGGAAUGCGCAGAUAUCAGGAGGAACACCGAUGGCGAAGGCAGGUCUCUGGGCCGCAACUGACGCUGAGGAGCGAAAGCAUGGGGAGCGAACAGGAUUAGAUACCCCCGUAGUCCCUGUCUCUUAUAC
rnacentral:rRNA from 1 species